rnacentral:rRNA from 1 species
AGAGUUUGAUCAUGGCUCAGGACGAACGCUGGCGGCGUGCCUAAUACAUGCAAGUCGAGCGAGCGGAACUAACAGAUUUACUUCGGUAAUGACGUUAGGAAAGCGAGCGGCGGAUGGGUGAGUAACACGUGGGGAACCUGCCCCAUAGUCUGGGAUACCACUUGGAAACAGGUGCUAAUACCGGAUAAGAAAGCAGAUCGCAUGAUCAGCUUUUAAAAGGCGGCGUAAGCUGUCGCUAUGGGAUGGCCCCGCGGUGCAUUAGCUAGUUGGUAAGGUAAAGGCUUACCAAGGCGAUGAUGCAUAGCCGAGUUGAGAGACUGAUCGGCCACAUUGGGACUGAGACACGGCCCAAACUCCUACGGGAGGCAGCAGUAGGGAAUCUUCCACAAUGGACGCAAGUCUGAUGGAGCAACGCCGCGUGAGUGAAGAAGGUUUUCGGAUCGUAAAGCUCUGUUGUUGGUGAAGAAGGAUAGAGGUAGUAACUGGCCUUUAUUUGACGGUAAUCAACCAGAAAGUCACGGCUAACUACGUGCCAGCAGCCGCGGUAAUACGUAGGUGGCAAGCGUUGUCCGGAUUUAUUGGGCGUAAAGCGAGCGCAGGCGGAAGAAUAAGUCUGAUGUGAAAGCCCUCGGCUUAACCGAGGAACUGCAUCGGAAACUGUUUUUCUUGAGUGCAGAAGAGGAGAGUGGAACUCCAUGUGUAGCGGUGGAAUGCGUAGAUAUAUGGAAGAACACCAGUGGCGAAGGCGGCUCUCUGGUCUGCAACUGACGCUGAGGCUCGAAAGCAUGGGUAGCGAACAGGAUUAGAUACCCUGGUAGUCCAUGCCGUAAACGAUGAGUGCUAAGUGUUGGGAGGUUUCCGCCUCUCAGUGCUGCAGCUAACGCAUUAAGCACUCCGCCUGGGGAGUACGACCGCAAGGUUGAAACUCAAAGGAAUUGACGGGGGCCCGCACAAG